rnacentral:rRNA from 1 species
GUGCCAGACUCCUACGGGAGGCAGCAGUGGGGAAUAUUGCACAAUGGGGGAAACCCUGAUGCAGCGACGCCGCGUGAGUGAAGAAGUAUUUCGGUAUGUAAAGCUCUAUCAGCAGGGAAGAUAAUGACGGUACCUGACUAAGAAGCCCCGGCUAACUACGUGCCAGCAGCCGCGGUAAUACGUAGGGGGCAAGCGUUAUCCGGAUUUACUGGGUGUAAAGGGAGCGUAGGUGGCAGGGCAAGUCAGAUGUGAAAACCCGGGGCUCAACCCCGGGAGUGCAUUUGAAACUGUCCAGCUGGAGUGCAGGAGAGGUAAGCGGAAUUCCUAGUGUAGCGGUGAAAUGCGUAGAUAUUAGGAAGAACACCAGUGGCGAAGGCGGCUUGCUGGACAGUAACUGACGUUGAGGCUCGAAAGCGUGGGGAGCAAACAGGAUUAGAUACCCUAGUA